rnacentral:rRNA from 20 species
GUCGAACGAAAUCUUCGGAUUUAGUGGCGGACGGGUGAGUAACGCGUGAGAAUCUGGCUUCAGGUCUGGGACAACCACUGGAAACGGUGGCUAAUACCGGAUGUGCCGAGAGGUGAAAGGUUAACUGCCUGAAGAUGAGCUCGCGUCUGAUUAGCUAGUUGGUAGAGUAAGAGCCUACCAAGGCGACGAUCAGUAGCUGGUCUGAGAGGACGAUCAGCCACACUGGGACUGAGACACGGCCCAGACUCCUACGGGAGGCAGCAGUGGGGAAUUUUCCGCAAUGGGCGAAAGCCUGACGGAGCAAUACCGCGUGAGGGAGGAAGGCUCUUGGGUCGUAAACCUCUUUUCUCAGGGAAGAACACAAUGACGGUACCUGAGGAAUAAGCAUCGGCUAACUCCGUGCCAGCAGCCGCGGUAAUACGGAGGAUGCAAGCGUUAUCCGGAAUGAUUGGGCGUAAAGCGUCCGCAGGUGGCAAUGUAAGUCUGCUGUUAAAGAGUCUAGCUCAACUAGAUAAGAGCAGUGGAAACUACAUAGCUAGAGUACGUUCGGGGCAGAGGGAAUUCCUGGUGUAGCGGUGAAAUGCGUAGAGAUCAGGAAGAACACCAGUGGCGAAGGCGCUCUGCUAGGCCGUAACUGACACUGAGGGACGAAAGCUAGGGGAGCGAAUGGGAUUAGAUACCCCAGUAGUCCUAGCCGUAAACGAUGGAUACUAGGCGUG